rnacentral:rRNA from 1 species
GGCGAACGGGUGAGUAACACGUGAGUAACCUGCCCACAACUUUGGGAUAACGCUAGGAAACUGGUGCUAAUACUGGAUAUGUGCUCCUGCUGCAUGGUGGGGGUUGGAAAGCUCCGGCGGUUGUGGAUGGACUCGCGGCCUAUCAGCUUAUUGGUGGGGUAGUGGCCUACCAAGGCGGCGACGGGUAGCCGGCCUGAGAGGGUGACCGGCCACAUUGGGACUGAGAUACGGCCCAG